rnacentral:rRNA from 1 species
GAUGAACGCUGGCGGCGUGCCUAAUACAUGCAAGUCGAGCGAACGGACGAGAAGCUUGCUUCUCUGAUGUUAGCGGCGGACGGGUGAGUAACACGUGGAUAACCUACCUAUAAGACUGGGAUAACUUCGGGAAACCGUAGCUAGUACCGGAUAAUAUUUUGAACCGCAUGGUUCAAAAGUGAAAGACGGUCUUGCUGUCACUUAUAGAUGGAUCCGCGCUGCAUUAGCUAGUUGGUAAGGUAACGGCUUACCAAGGCAACGAUGCAUAGCCGACCUGAGAGGGUGAUCGGCCACACUGGAACUGAGACACGGUCCAGACUCCUACGGGAGGCAGCAGUAGGGAAUCUUCCGCAAUGGGCGAAAGCCUGACGGAGCAACGCCGCGUGAGUGAUGAAGGUCUUCGGAUCGUAAAACUCUGUUAUUAGGGAAGAACAUAUGUGUAAGUAACUGUGCACAUCCUGACGGUACCUAAUCAGAAAGCCACGGCUAACUACGUG